CUUUUAUGGGUGUUGUUGUGUUUUGUUGUCAAUGAGACUAACGAUUCAAGUAUUAGGCAGCAUGCCUCAGUGUGAUGAGGAACAUUUGCACAGACCCCAGGAAAGACAAGCCAAGUUCCUCCUGACUAUGAAAGCAAAGCAAACACAGCAAAAGCUCAGUGUUUUGACCCACUGCAAACUGUAUCAAGCUAUGGCUGAUAAACCUGUAAGGAUCUUUACUCAUCGUUUGUUUCACCUGAUAUCCCUCCCUGCCCCCUUGGUCCCCAUUAUGCUCCAAUUUCACCCAGCUGUAUUCCCUGCAGAGCUUUAUCAGUCUCAGAAGGGGGGUGUAGCAAGUUUUUUCUGAGCUUUGUUGAGCAGAUGUGGUUAGAACCUCACCUCUAAGGCUUACCUCUUUGCUAAAGUAAUUCCCUGAUACCGCACUGCAAACAGGAUGGGCCUAAAUCUAUGUAACUGACUACUUUUAGCUGCUCUCAAAUGUUUGUUGUUUAGGAAAAAAAAAAAAAAAAAAGGAACCAAAAUAUAUUUAUCAGUUUUCUUUUAAAAAGAAGAUUUCAUCAGUUAUGUACUUCAGCUCAUUGCUGAUUGUAUGUGUGGUGCAAGGCAAUGGCGCUGUUUUUUUAUAAGAAGAAUUCCUUAUGGAUGAGAGUUCUUCCAGAACCAGUGAAUUCCUACAGGAAGAUUUCAGAAUAAAACAACCAAAUGCUGUUUCCAGCCCUGUUCUAGGCUUGGAGGGUGUUGGGAGACCCUCUCUUGUCUUACAGCUGGCAGCUGAGGCAUUCCCCAGGAUGUAGAAGACCCAUGUUGAGUUUACUCACUUCAUUUGGAUGACUUAGUGCCUUUCCCGUCAUGGAAAUUCUCUGGGUGUAGAAUGGAGGUCAAGAUAUAGAAAUAUCUAUAAACUGAAUCUUUCUUGCAAAAGAAUCAGUGGAAAAAGAGAAUAUUUAAAUUAUGAUCCAGUUUGUUGCAUGAAAACGCGCCCAAGUCACUGGCUAACUUUCCUGUUCUUUUUGCUUUCAUCAAUGAAUAGUUAAUAAAUUCUUAAUGUACUGCAAAAUAGUGGAACAAGACUAUAAUAGAAGAGUCUCAGGGAAUAAAACAUUAUCUUCUGAUUGUUGAGAUCAUCCAGCUUUAUUAAUUCCUUCUGGUUCACGUGUACAUUGAAAAAACACUUCACCGUAUGCUAAGUCCUAACCAAAAGCUAUAAUUACUUGAGAUACAAUGACUGAGAUGCUGCUAUGAAUACAGAAGAUAAAUAAAACUUAGUAUUCCCUGUUUUUAUUUCCCUGUAUAAGAGAUGCUGUUGGACUUCGCAUCUCAAAGAUUUAUCUCAAAUCAAAGAAUACCUUAGUAACUGCUGGAAAUCAUAGCUGUGGUUUGAGAUGUGCUGAGCUACCAUGUAGUUCUUGUCUUAAGUCUUGUUCAGUUUCCAUCUGACAGCUUCUGAUUCAGUCUUGUAGGAAUGGGCAACUCCAUAGACAGCAAAAGGACAUGAGGUUAAUGCUGUUUAUACUUUUCUGUCUGUUUCUCCUGGACUUGGAAGAAAACCUUCUGUAGUUCUCAGCAGCUUGCGUGACUCAGAACUAUGUCCUUUUGUUGUCAUAUUGAAAUAUUUAAGACUGAGAGCCUGAUAAGUAUGCUAAACUGGACUGCAAACCUACUGAUGCGUAUUUUGGAUACUCCUCCAAAAAAUGUCAUAUACAAAUGAAUCUGCUUUAAAAUAUUGCGGGCAUUUGGUUUUGUGGAAGAUCGUUGUGCCUCUCUGACUUCUUGCAUGUUAAAAAGUCAGUUAUUGCAAACUCUCUCUCUAGUUUCUGGAUCAUUACCCACUUUUUUUAAGCAAAAAUAUCCUUUUGUAUAAUCCAGUUACUCUUCAUUCGUAAUGCUUUCAUGACAUUUGGAGUAUCUGUUACCAUAUCAUUAACUAGUGUUGUUAUGACAGAUAAUUUAUUGUCUACUGAAGAUCCUCCCAUUUUUGUGUGUGAAUGGUCUUAAUUUUUUUUCUAGAAUAAGAACAGCUUUGGUAUCUGAUAGUGAUAUUUAGGAGUCCGUAUCAAGACUUUACUGAAGAGGACAAUGAAUGUAUGUACAGGUCCACAUAAGGGUAGUCAGAAAAUAGUGUUGAUAUUGGACUCUAUACUGAGUAGAAAUGUUCCUGGAGAUCGUGAUGUCUUUGGACUUGACUGAAAAACUGAGUGCUGCAGUAUAACUUUCCCAGUGCUGAGAUCUUUUUUUCCCCUUGUUUGUUGCAAAUUGUCUGUCUGCAGAUGAAGUGUAAUGGCAUCCUUAAUAAAUGUAGCUAUGAUCUCA